GAAAGAUUGGGCUAGGAGGGAGGAGGAUCCGAGUUUGCAUCGUUCAUCUUCCAACAGGAGUUUUUAUUACAAGUCUGAGAGUGGGAGAAAGGGAUUAUCUUCUUCGUCGUCUAGAUAUGAUAGGUUUGAGGAUGACCGUGAGAGUCUGAGACCAAUAAAGAAGAGAUCAGAUUAUGAUGUGGACAACUAUGAUAGGCGGAAGAGUUACAAUCGAUACAGUCAUAGUAAUGAUAAAGGGGUUCUAAGCUCUUCUCCAAGGGGUGGAUAUGGUGCUGAAAGGAUUCAUAGGUCAGAGAGUUUUUCUGGACCAAGGAGGGAAGUUCCAAAGGGGUUCAGAUCAGAGAGGGAUAGGUCCAGGCGGGAGGGGAGUGUGUCAUCAUGGCGCAGGUUUGGUGGCGUGAAAGAUAGUGAUGAAGGUGCGAGGAGUGGUGGGGAUUCAGCAAGAGGAAGUAGAGUAGAAUCAGAAGAUAUUGAGAAGGCAAAGUCGCCUCCAGGAUGGCGAGAUGCAAAAUCACCUGCUUGGUCAAAGGACUCUGGUAGUGAGCAAUCAAGGAGUGUUGAAGUUAAGAAAAGUGAAGGCUUGCCAAUGGAGAAUGGUGGACAUAACAGUGAAAUGGAAGAGGGGGAACUGGAGCCUGAUCAUCCAUCUUCUGCCACUGAGCCUGCUGCUGAAGAUGAAGCUUCUGGUGAGGUGAACCGCUCACAGAUGGAGCAUGAGAGUGAGCGUCAAGUUGAUAGUAAGAGACAAGAUGAUGGGGUUAAUUCUUUGUACGACCAGAAGGUUGAGCUCAGAAAAGUAAGUGUUACUGCUGAGCAGUCGGAAGAAACACAGUCGGAUAAUGUCCAAGACAUUUUCAAGGACGGUGAUGGUUUGUCUGAUCACGGCACUUCAAUGGGGCACAGUGGAAUGGGAAAUGGAACUGGGACUCUGAGAGAUCAUGUUGGUGAAAAGAAUGGGUCCACUAGGAAAAACAAUGGCUCUAGGGAAGAAGAAAAGAAUGUGGAUGCUGAGAAGUUACCACCUAAAAAGAGGGAACAAGGGGAGGAGAAAAACAGAGAUGCUAAAUCUAAGAUAAAUUGUAUUGAGAUCCGUGAAUUAAAUAGAGAGCUUGUUGGGGAAGAUGGACCAGCAGACUCUGUUUCUUCUGUUGCACAUGCAGAUGUAUCACUAAGUGUCAAGGACAAGGGAAAAAGUCUCGCUGUUUCGCCUGAAAAUAUCACUGCCCCUCCUGCAGAUGGUUUGAUGAUGGAUAACGAGCCAAGAGGCAUUGUACCUUGUGGAAACUCUGAUAUGGAAGGACCAAGUACGAGGGGCCUUGAGUUGUUCUUGUCUGGUCCUGUCAAAAAACCUGAAAAGGCAGACAAAUUUAGUAAUUGCAUGACCAAAGAUGAAAAGUUCGGUCUGGAACCACUUGAGCUUUCUCUUAGCUUGCCAAAUGUCCUGUUGCCUAUUGGUGCACAGAAUGAAGUUCAACCUCCUGGUUCUCCUAGUCAAGGAAGGAGUUUCCAAUCCUUUGCCAGCUCAUUUCGCACGAAUUCUGAUGGCUUUACCAUGUCUAUGUCCUUUUCAGGGUCACAACACUUCACUCAUAAUCCUAGUUGCUCAAUGACACAUAAUUCAGUUGAUUAUGAGCAAUCUGUUAAAAGCCGCCCCCUCUUUCAAGGUGUCGAUUGGCAAGCCCUCGCUUCAAAUGAGCAGAAGAAUAAUGACAUCCCAAAUUGUCAAGGCAUGUUAUCAAAUGGAACUGGUCCGUAUCAGCAGUCUCAAGCAUCUCAAGGAAAUUCUAGUGGUCAAGCUGUAGCAAAACAUCUCAGAGCUGCAGAGGAAAGCUCCAAAUUAGCUGCUGGGCUGGACAGGCAACUAAGUACUGGUCAAGCAUCUCGUCAUCCAAAUGGAGCUAGAUCUCCUACACAGAGUGUUGGGUCUCAUGAAACUGGGUCAGAAUACAAUAAAGAUAAGAAACAAUUAACUAGAGCAAAAGAUAGCAGCUUUUAUAGGUUCGGUGGUUCUGAUGGCAAAGAGAUCCAACUGCCUAUUGGAUCUGACUUCAUCGAAUCAGUAAUCACAACCAUGGUUUCUGAACCAAUACAUGUGACUGCAAGGAGGUUUAAUGAGAUCUCUGGGCAACAGUUGCUUUGUGUGAAGGAGGCACUCAGUGACAUCAUCACAAAUCCUGGCAAACAUUGGCAGCUUAGUACUCUGCAAAAGGCCCUGCAGAAGAGGUCUGACAUCACUUUGGAUACACUACUGAAAUCGCACAGGAGUCAACUAGAGUUGUUGGUGGCUCUGAGAACUGGUCUCCAAGAAUUUCUCCAGCCAAGUUAUGAUGUUUCUACAUCUGACUUGGCAGAUAUAUUUCUGAAUUUAAGAUGUAGAAAUCUCACUUGUCGAUCUUCGUUGCCUGUGGAUGAAUGUGAGUGCAAAGUAUGCUCACAGAAGAAUGGUUUCUGCAGUGCUUGCAUGUGUCUUGUGUGUUCCAAGUUUGACAUGGCAUCUAAUACUUGUAGCUGGGUUGGGUGUGAUGUUUGUCUGCAUUGGUGUCACGCUGAUUGUGGGCUACGUGAAUCUUACAUCAGGAAUGGACGUAGUGCUUCUGGUGCAAAGGGUUGUGUAGAGAUGCAAUUCCAUUGUGUUGCGUGUAACCAUCCAUCUGAAAUGUUUGGUUUUGUAAAAGAGGUUUUCCAAAACUUUGCUAAGGAAUGGACGGCAGAAGCAUUUUCGAAGGAGCUUGAAUAUGUGAAAAGAAUUUUUCGUGCCAGCGAGGACAUCAGAGGGAAACGCUUGCAUGACAUUGCUAAUUAUAUGUUGUCAAAAUUGGCAAUUAAGGCUGACCUUCAAGAAGUUCAAAGUCAAAUGAUGCAUUUCUUCCUGACAGAGCCAGAUUCAGUCAAAACUGAUAAUGCUCCAAUUAUUCAAGGAAAGGAGUUGUCAACAAAGAACCAUGAAGGGAACAAUGGUAUUGCUCGGCCCAGCCAGGGAGCGAUGUGGCUAAAAGCAGUUAGUUCUGAGAAGGCUCCUCAAGUGGAAAAGCCUACAGGUUUGCCUUCAAGUUUUGAUAGCCUCCGGAACGAAAAGCAGGCAAUGAACUCGAGUUUCCAGCCAAGUAUGGAAAAGGGGCCAGUAUUUGAUGAACUAGACAGCAUAGUUAGAAUCAAGCAGGCAGAAGCUAAAAUGUUCCAAGCACGAGCUGAUGAAGCUAGGAGAGAGGCUGAUGCUCUGAAACGCAUUGGUGGAACUAAGAGUGAGAGAAUUGAAGAAGAAUAUGUAACUCGAAUCACAAAGUUGCGGUUGGCUGAAGCUGAGGAUAUGCGGAAACAGAAGUUGCAAGAGCUGCAGUCUUUAGAAAGAGCUUAUCAGGAGUACUUCAAUAUGAAAAUGAGAAUGGAAAAUAACAUCAAAGAUCUCUUGUUGAAGAUGGAAGCUACUAGAAGGAAUCUCAGUUUGUGAUUAACUAGUAGCACCUUGUUUAGGACAACACCUUGUUUUUUUUUUCUUAAGCAGCAUUUGCAAGGUUUGAAACACCUCAAGUAUAUUAACUUGUAGUUGUUCUUUAGUCUAGUAGUCCUUGUAUUCUGCUAACCAGAUUCUGUACAGAGACCACCUUAUCUCUUUAUGUUACAGAUGAACUCCAGUUAUGCACAAGAUGUGAAAACCAGGAAAAUAG
rnacentral:misc_RNA from 1 species